ACAUAAAAACAUAAGACGAGAAGACCCUAUGGAGCUUUAGAUAUUAGACAGAUCUUGUUAAACAAACCAAAAUAAUGGCAUAAACAUAAAGAUUUCUAGUCUACUUGUCUUUGGUUGGGGCGACCACGGAGGAAAAUAAAGCCUCCAUGAGGACUGAGGGCAGUGCCCUCACAACUAAGAGCCACAACUCUAAGUACCAGAAUUUCUGACCCAAAUGAUCCGACAAAUGUCGAUCAACGAACCAAGUUACCCUAGGGAUAACAGCGCAAUCCCCUCCUAGAGUCCCUAUCGACAAGGG
rnacentral:rRNA from 1 species